rnacentral:tRNA from 1 species
AGAAUAGUAUUUAAACCUUAUAAACUCUAAUCUGCAAUUAGAAAUUGCUUGUGCCUAUUCUA